rnacentral:rRNA from 1 species
AGGGCACCACCAGGAGUGGAGCCUGCGGCUUAAUUUGACUCAACACGGGAAAUCUCACCAGGCCCGGACACCGGUAGGAUUGACAGAUUGAGAGCUCUUUCUUGAUUCGGUGGGUGGUGGUGCAUGGCCGUUCUUAGUUGGUGGAGCGAUUUGUCUGGUUAAUUCCGAUAACGAACGAGACUCUAGCCUACUAGUUAGCCGGCCCGGUCGUUAUGCGCCCGGGCAACGAGCUUCUUAGAGGGACAGACGGCGAGUAAGCCGUACGAGAUAGAGCAAUAACAGGUCUGUGAUGCCCUUAGAUGUCCGGGGCCGCACGCGCGCUACACUGAAGUGAUCAGCACGCUAGCAAGCCCGCUCCGAGAGGAGCGGGUAACCGUUUGAACCCCCUUCAUGAUAGGGAUUGAGCUUUGUAACUAUUGCUCGUGAACGAGGAAUUCCCAGUAGGCGUGAGUCAUUACCUUACGCCGAUUACGUCCCUGCCCUUUGUACACACCGCCCGUCGCUACUACCGAUUGAAUG